rnacentral:rRNA from 1 species
AACGAACGCUGGCGGCAGGCUUAACACAUGCAAGUCGAACGCCCCGCAAGGGGAGUGGCAGACGGGUGAGUAACGCGUGGGAACGUGCCCUUCGGUUCGGGAUAACCCGGGGAAACUCGGGCGUAAUACCGGAUACGUCCUGCCCCUUUAACAAGGGUGGGAGAAAGGUUUACUGCCGAAGGAUCGGCCCGCGUCGGAUUAGCUAGUUGGUGGGGUAAUGGCCCACCAAGGCGACGAUCCGUAGCUGGUCUGAGAGGAUGANCAGCCACACUGGGACUGAGACACGGCCCAGACUCCUACGGGAGGCAGCAGUGGGGAAUAUUGGACAAUGGGCGCAAGCCUGAUCCAGCGAUGCCGCGUGUGUGAAGAAGGCC